UGGGAACCUCCAUAUGCCAUGGGUGUGCCCCCCCCCCAAAAAAAGACCAAAAAAAAAAAAAAAGGAAAGAAAAUUACAAAGAGGACUACUCUUAAAAUUUAGGCAGGAAAAAUUCUGAGGGUGAUUCUAUCAGGCUGCUUGAGUCUUCUCACCCAGUAAGGAAAUAUCUUAUCCCACUAAUAGAAAACCAAAGUGAGUUUCUAAUGAAACUGAAAAAUGAACAGAUGGUGAGGGCAUUGAUGACGUGUAGUUGGUGCAUAUGAACUUUGAAUUUGCAUUUAAGGAUUUUUUUUAAUUAAGCAUGAGAUUGAAUACUAUCCUAAUUUAAGCUGUAGUUGCUGAAAAUGGUAACUGUUGUUUGGUUAAACUCAAAGAUAUCUACAUCAGAUUAUGUCUUUUAUUAGAAGUAAAACAAAUACUGAUACUGUUAUUUAGAUUAUUGUUACAACAAUCUGUAUGUAAUCAAUUCCUUGUUCAUAUUAGUACAUAAAAACAAUAAUAAACUAAAUGCUAAUCUGGAGAAGAGAAUUUUAUUCUUCUCAGGGUAAGACUCUAUACCUGGAAUAAUUUCUUAAUCAUAGGAUUAAGAUUUUAUAAGUAAUAAGUAAUGUUGCUUUUAAAAUUGAUUUUAUAGUCUGAAUUUAGUUUUCUUUUCAAACUUUAGAAUUGUGAGAUUUGAAGUGAUAUCAGAUAUUUAUAAAUGAUAGCAUUAUACCUUUGUCAUUUUUUUUAAGCAGAAGGAAAAUGUAACAAAUUCCACAGAAUUGCAGCAUCAGUUAGAUAAAACAAAGCAACAGCAUCAAGAACAACAAGCUCUUCAGCAAAACACUACGGCAAAACUUUGAGAAGCUCAGAAUGAUUGGGAAAAAGUGCUUCGUCAAUUUGGUGAUAAGGACCAAAAGAUCCAGAACCUUGAAGCCUUAUUACAGGAGAGUAAAGAAAAUAUUUCUUUCCUAGAAAAGGAAAGAGAAGAUUUUAUGCAAAUACUCAGGCUGGUGAAGGAGAGACCGCUGUUCUUAAUCAGUUGCAGGAAGAAAACCAUAUAUUACAGGAACAAGUAAGCUUGUCUAGUGUAUUCUGUUUCUAAAAUUUAUUUUUAUCUCUCUAAAUCUUACAAAGUGCUUUAUGUAAAUGGUUCUGUUAAUUUUAGUGCUUGUAAAAUUAUUAUGUAUUUCUGAAAAAAACCGUCUCAUUUACCUUAGAGGUGGGGUGCUAUUGCAGUGAAAAUAAGUUAUUUACCAUGAUUUGAUAAAGGAAAUCUCAGUUCACACCCCAGGAUGUAACUUAUUACCUGUGUGACCAUAAGCAAAUCAUUUAACCAUGUUAACUCAUUGGAAAAGUAUAGUUAGUUCAUACUGGGAAGUUAGACUUACUUCUUGGCAUUUUGUGAUGUUUUGAAAAGGAAAAGUAAGGAACAAAAUAUAAACUAUAGCAGGUGUUAGUUAUUUC
rnacentral:lncRNA from 1 species